rfam:Helianthus annuus unplaced genomic scaffold HanXRQChr00c0909, whole genome shotgun sequence.
CUACUGGUUGAUCUGCAGUAGUAUUGUUGUCUCAAGAUUAGCAUGAUGUGUAGUAUGAACAAUUCGACUGUGAAUGCGAAUGGUCAUUAAUCAGUUAUAGUUUGUUUGAUGGUAUCUUGUAUCGGAUACGUAGUAUUUAGAGCUAUAGUGCAAACCCGAUUUGGAGGGAUGCAUUUAUUAGAUAAAGGUCGAGCGGGCUUUGCCGUUGCUGCGAUGAUUAUGAUAUCGACGGAUCGCCGGCCUUGUGCGGCGAGUCAUUCAAUUUUGCCUAUACUUUCGAUGGUAGGAUAGUGGCUACUAUGGUGGUGAGGGUGACGGGAUUAGGGUUCGAUUCGGGAGGGAGCUGAGAACGGCUACAAUCAGGAGGCAGGGCGCAAUUACCAUCUGACGGGGAGGUAGUGACAUAAUACAUACGGGUCUACGGUUGGUAUUGGAUGAGUACAUCUAAUCCUUACGAGGAUCAUUGGAGGGCAGUCUGGUGCAGCAGCGCGGUAUUCAGCUCAUAGGUAUAUUUAGUUGUUGCAGUUAAAGUCGUAGUUGGACUUUGGGUUGGGUCGGCGGUCGCCAUCAGGUGUGCACGGUUUACUGUCCUUCUGUCGGCGAUGCGUCUACCUUAAUGGGGGGUCGUGCUCCGGCGUUGUUACUUUGAGAAUUAGAGUGUCAAGCAGCUACGUCUGUAUACAUUGCAUGGGAUAAUAUAGGAUUUCGGUCUAUUCGUUGGCUUCGGGAUCGGAGUAUGAUUACAGGGACGUCGGGGGCAUUGUAUUUAUGUCAGAGGUGAAUUCUUGGAUUUAUGAAGACGAAAUGCGAAGAUUUGCAGGAUGUUUUCAUUAUCAGACGAAGUUGGGGGUCGAGCGAUCAGUACGUCUAGUUAACAUAACGAUGCGACAGGGAUAGCGGAUGUUGCUUUUAGGAUCGUGGACUUAUGAGAAUCAAGUUUUUGGGUUCGGGGGGAGUAUGGUCGCAGGCUGAACUUAAGGAUUGACGGAAGGGCACCAGGAGUGGAGCUGCGGCUUAUUUGAUCAACGGGGAAUUACAGGUCAGAUAGUAGGAUUGACAGAUGAGAGUCUUUCUUGAUUCUAUGGGUGGUGGUGCAUGGCGUUUUAGUUGGUGGAGCGAUUUGUCUGGUUAUUCCGUUACGACGAGACUCAGCUGCUAAUAGCUAUGUGGAGGUAUCCUCAUGGCAGUUUUAGAGGGACUAUGGCUUUUAGGCACGGAGUUUGAGGCAUAAGGUCUGUGAUGCCUUGAUGUUCUGGGCGACGCGCGUACUGAUGUAUUCACGAGUAUAUAGCUUGGCGACAGGCCGGGAAUCUUUGAAUUUAUCGUGAUGGGGAUAGUCAUUGCAUUGUUGGUCUUAACGAGGAUUCUAGUAAGCGCGAGUCAUCAGUCGCGUUGAUAGUCCUGCCUUUGUACACGCCGUCGUCUACGAUUGAAUGGUCGGUGAGUGUUAGGAUGUGGCGAGUGGGCGGUUCGUGCCGCGACGUCGCGAGAUUCCAUGACUUAUCAUUUAGAGGAAGGAGAGUGUAACAGGUUUCGUAGGUGAACUGCGGAGGUCAUUG